rnacentral:rRNA from 1 species
UACGUGGGUGGCAAGCGUUGUCCGGAUUUACUGGGCGUAAAGGAUGCGUAGGUGGAUAUUUAAGUGGGAUGUGAAAUACCCGAGCUCAACUUGGGUGCUGCAUUCCAAACUGGAUAUCUAGAGUGCAGGAGAGGUAAGUGGAAUUCCUAGUGUAGCGGUGAAAUGCGUAGAGAUUAGGAAGAACACCAGUGGCGAAGGCGACUUACUGGACUGUAACUGACACUGAGGCAUGAAAGCGUGGGGAGCAAACAGG